rnacentral:pre_miRNA from 1 species
GUAGUAUUCCCUCCGUCCCAAAAUUCUUGUCUUACAUUUGUUUAGAUACGGAUGUAUCUAACACUAAAAUGUAACUAGAUACAUCCGUAUUUAGAAAAAUUUAAGACAAGAAUUUUGGGACGGAGGGAGUAUAAA